UUCUGGUUGUAACCCAGGACUCGUAGCUUCUCACCUGAGGAUGGGGACAAGAGUUGGUAGGGGGAAUCAAGCUGAAAUCAGGUACAUACUACCAUCUCAGCUAUCACAGGUCUGUGACUCAACACCUUGAUAAGAACAAACUGGAGCCACAUGAAGAUGCUGAAAGGGUACAACGCGCCUUACCUUUGGUGAUGCUGAGUGUGUUGUCGCCGCUUGCUACAAAAUCAUAAAGUGCAACAAAAAGA